UAGGGAAUCUUCGGCAAUGGGGGCAACCCUGACCGAGCAACGCCGCGUGAGUGAAGAAGGUUUUCGGAUCGUAAAGCUCUGUUGUAAGUCAAGAACGAGUGUGAGAGUGGAAAGUUCACACUGUGACGGUAGCUUACCAGAAAGGGACGGCUAACUACGUGCCAGCAGCCGCGGUAAUACGUAGGUCCCGAGCGUUGUCCGGAUUUAUUGGGCGUAAAGCGAGCGCAGGCGGUUUGAUAAGUCUGAAGUUAAAGGCUGUGGCUCAACCAUAGUUCGCUUUGGAAACUGUCAAACUUGAGUGCAGAAGGGGAGAGUGGAAUUCCAUGUGUAGCGGUGAAAUGCGUAGAUAUAUGGAGGAAUACCGGUGGCGAAAGCGGCUCUCUGGUCUGUAACUGACGCUGAGGCUCGAAAGCGUGGGGAGCGAACAGGAUUAGAUACCCUGGUAGUCCACGCCGUAAACGAUGAGUGCUAGGUGUUGGAUCCUUUCCGGGAUUCAGUGCCGCAGCUAACGCAUUAAGCACUCCGCCUGGGGAGUACGACCGCAAGGUUG
rnacentral:rRNA from 1 species